UACAGAGGUCUCAAGCGUUGUUCGGAUUCAUUGGGCGUAAAGGGUGCGUAGGCGGCGCGGUAAAGUCGGGUGUGAAAUCUUGGAGCUUAACUCCGAAACUGCAUUCGAUACUGCCGUGCUUGAGGACUGGAGAGGAGACUGGAAUUUACGGUGUAGCGGUGAAAUGCGUAGAUAUCGUAAGGAAGACCAGUGGCGAAGGCGGGUCUCUGGACAGUUCCUGACG
rnacentral:rRNA from 1 species